ensembl:lncRNA
AAAACAUGGUGUCAGAGUAAAAGGUCUUAAAAUAUGAAUUUUUCUGGAGUUCCUUUACCUCGAAUGGACUGGGACUCUACAAAUUUACCCAAUGCAUGGCGUAAGUACAAACAGCAUGUGAAGCUAAUGUUCACGGGUCCUCUGAAGGACAGAGGAGAAGAGGAAAAGUGCAGCUACCUGCUCCUCUGAAUCGGUGAAAAAGGAGAGAUAUUUACAACACAUGGACACUUACCGAGGCUGAAUCAAAGCUUGGAACCUCACAGCAGAGAGCCAGGAGCUGCAGCACGGGUCAGACUCACAGCUGAGAGCACGGUCAGAGCACACAGCUGGCAGUGAUAUGUCACAACAUAUUGGAUGCUCCAGUGUCAACUGCUGUGGAAGGGAGAGG